UACGAGGGGGGCAAGCGUUGUCCGGAAUUACUGGGCGUAAAGAGCUCGUAGGUGGUUUGUCGCGUUGUUCGUGAAAACCGGGGGCUUAACCCUCGGCGUGCGGGCGAUACGGGCAGGCUAGAGUGUGGUAGGGGAGAUCGGAAUUCCUGGUGUAGCGGUGAAAUGCGCAGAUAUCAGGAGGAACACCGGUGGCGAAGGCGGAUCUCUGGGCCAUUACUGACGCUGAGGAGCGAAAGCGUGGGGAGCGAACAGGA
rnacentral:rRNA from 1 species